rnacentral:ncRNA from 1 species
UAUGACUGAACGCCUCUAAGUCAGAAUCCUCACUAGACAAGGCAACGAUAAAUUUGCUCCCUGAUGUCGGGAGGCACUAUUAUGUAAUUAUGAACAUAUUCAUACUAUUACAGCUAAUGCCCCAUUAUAUGGCCUUGCUAUUUAAUCGAAUGGUUAAAUGGUUGCCAAAACCGGAUUACUCUGGUACAAUGUCGGGGCGCAAGAUCACUUGCAGACGACUUGAUUACUGGUCAAGGUGUUGUAAGCAGUAGAGCAGCCUCCAUACUGCGAUCUGUUGAGACUUAUCCUUUGAUUGGACGAUUUGU